rnacentral:rRNA from 1 species
AUUGAACGCUGGCGGCAGGCCUAACACAUGCAAGUCGAACGAGUGGCGGACGGGUGAGUAAUGUCUGGGAAACUGACUGAUGUCGGGGGAUAACUACUGGAAACGGUAGAUAAUACCGCAUUCCAUCGGAUGUUCCCAGAUGGGCUUAGCUAGUAGGUGGGGAAAAGGCGCACCUAGGCGGAGAUCCCUAGCUGGGCUAAGAGGAUGAACUGCCAGACUGGAACUGAGACACGGUCCAUAUUCCUACGGGAGGCAGCAGUGGGGAAUAGUGCACAAUGGGCGCAAGCCUGAUACAGCCAUGCCGCGUGUAUGAAGAAGGCCUUCGGGUUGUAAAGUACUUUCAGCGGGGAGGCGUUACCCGCAGAAGAAGCACCGGCUAACUCCGUGCCAGCCGCCGCGGUAAUAC